GGGAAUCUGCCCUUGGGUCUGGAAUAACUUCUGGAAACGGAAGCUAAUACCGGAUGAUGACGUAAGUCCAAAGAUUUAUCGCCCAGGGAUGAGCCCGCGUAGGAUUAGGUAGUUGGUGGGGUAAAGGCUCACCAAGCCGACGAUCCUUAGCUGGUCUGAGAGGAUGAUCAGCCACACUGGGACUGAGACACGGCCCAGACUCCUACGGGAGGCAGCAGUGGGGAAUAUUGGACAAUGGGCGAAAGCCUGAUCCAGCAAUGCCGCGUGAGUGAUGAAGGCCUUAGGGUUGUAAAGCUCUUUUACCCGGGAUGAUAAUGACAGUACCGGGAGAAUAAGCCCCGGCUAACUCCGUGCCAGCAGCCGCGGUAAUACGGAGGGGGCUAGCGUUAUUCGGAAUUACUGGGCGUAAAGCGCACGUAGGCGGCUUUGUAAGUCAGGGGUGAAAGCCUGGAGCUCAACUCCAGAACUGCCUUUGAGACUGCAUCGCUUGAAUCCAGGAGAGGUCAGUGGAAUUCCGAGU
rnacentral:rRNA from 1 species